rnacentral:rRNA from 1 species
CGUAGGCGGUGAGAUAUGUGUGGUGUGAAAGCCCUGGGCUUAACCUGGGAAGUGCAUCGCAAACUAUCUGACUGGAGCAUAUGAGAGGGUGGCGGAAUUUCCGGUGUAGCGGUGAAAUGCGUAGAGAUCGGAAGGAACGUCGAUGGCGAAGGCAGCCACCUGGCAUAAUACUGACGCUGAGGCGCGAAAGCGUGGGGAUCAAACA